GGGGGAUUAGCUCAGCUGGCUAGAGCACCUGCUUUGCAAGCAGGGGGUCAUCGGUUCGAAUCCGAUAUCCUCCA
rnacentral:tRNA from 5 species